rnacentral:misc_RNA from 1 species
AUUUCUUUUGACUGGCUCUCAUUAGAACAAUUGAAUUUACUUAGUUGUCCCGAAAUGAAGACACUUUGUGCUGCAAUUCCAGGCUCAACAUCACUGAAUAAAAGUUUUGAUCAAAUUGACCUUAUUGGUGGCAAGAAAAUCAUGUGUCCAAGAAGCUCAAUUACUCAAGGGUUGGUAAGAAGAGGUAGGGAGCGAAAAAAUGUCUCCAGCAAAAAGGAUAUCAAACAGCCGAGUACAUUCCAAAUGAACAAUGGACAAUUUCAAUCAAGUAUUGAACCAGCGGAAAUAAUUUCCAUAUUACUUCCAUCAAAUUGGCUACUAUUACCAAAUUUGCAAAACCUUCAUUUGGGUGCAUGUAAUUCGCUAAAAGUGAUUUUUCCUCCCUCUGUGGCCCAACAAUUGGUGCAGCUUCAAUAUUUAAAUAUCCGUGGAUGUUCUGGGAUGGAAUACAUUGUUGCAGAAACACAAGAACAAGAAAAAAACAAGGGAACAAACAAAGUAGUGUUUCCUAACCUGUCUUUACUUGAACUUGUUACACUACCAAAACUGGUGGCUUUUUGCCUUGACAGUCAUGUUUCUUUUGAUUUUCCCCUGUUAAAACGAUUGAACUUGUAUGGUUGUCCCAAUAUGAAGACAUUUUGUUUUGCAAUUUCAAGCUCAUGGGCAUUUAGCAGAAGUGUUGAUCAGACUAAUAAUGGAUUUGAUGGCAAGCAUGCACAUAACUCAAUAGUUCGAGGUUUGCUAAAAGGAGGAAGAGAGCAAAAAUAUGUUUCCAGCAAAGAGGUCUCACUAGUCAAGAACGAGGAGGAUCCAUCUGUUAGCCACAUUGAUGAGAAGACAGAGACAUGUUAUGCAUUUCCAUCCAAAUU